ensembl:lncRNA
GAGGCAUCUGUCUGCGAGGCGAGAGUGCUAAUCACUACACCACUGUACCGUGUCAACUGCUGCCAUUAGAAUGUCUUAUGACUCCAAUUUAGAAAAAAUUUCUUUUUUUAUUCAAAAGUACGUUUUCUCACCGGCGUCCCCCUUCAUAUGAUUAAAGAUAGAAUUUCAUGACUUUUUGCAAAAUAUUUGGGGAUUCUUUUCAGAUACUGAAGUUUUAAAAAAAAAUGUUCCAUUACUUUUACAAGUGUGGAGUGAAUCCCAUGUAGGCUUAGCCUACACCACCUAACACAGAGGAUCCACUGGGUGGAGUUGAACCCGAGGCAUCUGUCUGGGAGGCGAGAGUGCUAACCACUACACCACUGUACCGUGUCAACUGCUGCCAUUAGAAUGUCUAAUUACUCCAAUUUAGAAAAAAUUCAGAUUUUUAUUCAAAAGUACGUUUUCUCACCGGCGUCCCCCUUCAUAUGACUAAAGAAAGAAUGUCAUGACUUUUUGCAAAAUAUUUGGGGAUUCUUUUCAGAUGCUGAAGUUUUAAAAAACUUUUUUCCAUUACUUUUACAAGUAUGGAGUGAAUCCCAUGCAGGCUUAGCCUACGCCACCUAACACAAUGGCGCCACUGGGUGGAGUUGAACCCGAGGCAUCUGUCUGGGAGGCGAGAGUGCUAACCACUACACCACUGUACCGUGUCAACUGCUGCCAUUAGAAUGUCUUAUGACUUCAAUUUAGAAAAAAUUCGGAGUUUUUAUUCAAAAGUAGGUUUUCUCACCGUCGUCCCCCUUCAGAUGACUCAAGAUAGAAUUUCAUGACAUUUGCAAAAUAUUUUGGCAUUUAUUUCAGACUUGGAAGUUUAAAAAAAUUUUUUUCAUUACUUUUACAAGUAUGGAGUGAAGCCCAUGCAGGCUUAGCCUACACCACCUAACACAGUGGCGCCACUGGGUGGAGUUGAACCCGAGGCAUCUGUCUGGGAGGCGAGAGUGCUAACCACUACACCACUGUACCGUGUCAACUGCCUGCCU